ACUAGUAUGAAUGAAUAAACGAAGGAGAAGCUGUCUCUUAUUUAUAAAUAAAAAUUUACCUUUAGGUGAAGAGGCCUAAAUUCUAUAAAAAGACAAGAAGACCCUAUCAAGUUUAAUUAUAAAUUAAUCUAUCCUUAAUACUAUAAUUUUAUUGGGGCGAUAAAAAAUAAUAUAAAUCAUUUUUUUUUACUAAGAAUCAUUAUUCAUAAAAAUUAACUUUAAUAUAAAUAUAAGAAAACUACUGUAGGGAUAACAGGCUAAUAAUUUCCAAGAGUCCUUAUCAACGAAAUUGCUUGGCACCUCG
rnacentral:rRNA from 1 species